CGCACCAGGCGGCAGUUGGAAAAAAGAAGUUCGCUCACAAAAUCUUUCGCGCCACCGGUCAUUGCACAAGCAAACGGAAGCAGCAUCGAAAACAGCAAAAAUUCUCACUGGUUGUAACUACAGGAAUAACCCGAAAGGAGCGAACUCUGAUGUUUGAACCAGUUCUUCAUAGGAUCCCCCGUAAUCAGUAUUGAUAUUUUGCCCGCAGAACCUUCUGGCUGGAAGUGAACUGGAGAUAGACAUGCCGAAAAAUUUGUUCCGGGUUCAAUGACAUAAGUGUCCCCGGAUGAUGAGAUUUGAAAAAAAAGUUCCCCCGCGAAAUACUUCCAGCACCGUGGGUCGAAGGAAUCAGUGUGACGUGGAAAAAAAAUAAUACAAUGGCAACAUCUGCAAUGCAACGCAACGAGAAGCUGUGACAAACCUGGGUCGAAACUGGAGGGAUCUGUUUUUGAAGUUUGGAUCGUCGCCAGAUUGACUAUUCAGUCUUUUUCGUGGGUGAGAUGGGACAAAAAUGUUAACAUGAGGUGCCCUUAAACAACAAAGAAUGUUAUCGAAAGUGGACUUGAUGAUUAAAGAACCAACAAUGGAAACAUCACCUUCGACUAAACAGGAACGAUAUUUUCCGCACUAUUAACGGGAUAUUAAAACCCUUUUAUCGCCUUGUUCCCUUCCGGCUAAGGUUGACACAAAAAAGUUGCCAACAAAUUAAGAAACUGGAGCCAGUCGUGCAGAUAAAUCCAGGAGCUGGAAACGUUUGGUGGCCAAAUUCAUGAAAUCCAGAAAGUUUUGAUAAAGCGGUUCAGUUAUCGCCGUAAGGAGCAAGAAUCUGGCAAAAUGACUGCCCCUAGUCAUAGCGGCAACGAACAAAGCCCUCGGCACCGGCAUUUUCCAGAAGUUGCGGGAUCUUGCCACAUCGGCAGGUCGCCUCUUCAGAGUCCGGCCAAGAAGAUAAUACGCGUGGGAACGCUUUCGACAAAUGAUGGUGCGGGUGGCUGCGUCGGAAGCAGUAUUGGAAGAAUGAAUGGGAGCCUUGGGCUAACUUCCGCAAUUGAUUCAAACAGUACCAAAGGUGGCGAUCCCGGGUUGGAUCACUUCCCAAAGAAACGUAAAGAUGAUUUAGCAAGAUCUGAUAACACAAUAUCAUAAUAUAAUAAGUAAAAAAAUAGGACAGAUAGAAGAAAAUGAUACACAAUUUCGAAUUGGAAUUUCGUAUUCAGUGUAGGUACUAUUAACACAUUUGCUUUAACACUAGUUAACUGCUUUAGUAUCAACCCGUAAACAUCAAUUAUUUAUUUAAACCAAGAACGAAAGAAUUUAGUUAUUUGAAACAAAAAAAAACGAAACAGAAUCGAACUCAACUACGCGGAAUAGCAGCGUCUAGAAGUAAGUGAAAGAGAAAGCGGAGUUGGAAAUGUGUAAACAAAGAAUUGUACAGAAACUUGUAGGGAUUUUAAUGAAAAGUCAAAAACAAAGAUUAAAAGAGAAACUUGUUAUUUAAAUCUGAAGUAGAAAAUCUAUCAGCACCAAGUGCCUAAAGGAACAAAUGACAAUAUUUUUUCAUACUAAAUAAAGUCACAAAAUAGAAUAACGCAAGUAGAAUUAUAGAAGAACAUGGAGUAGUACACUCAAUAAUCGAAUUCAAGUUUUGUAAUAUAAUCUGUUAUGUAAAAAUACAAUAAUC